rnacentral:tRNA from 1 species
GGGGAUGUAACUCAGUGGCAGAGUUCUUGCCUAAGAUACAUGAAGCCAUGGAGGUUUAAUCCCCAGUAUCCCCC